AAAUAGGAAGCCUCAGGCUGGCGCUCCACCGCCCGGAGCAGGCUGCCCAUCCCCCACGACCCUCCCGGCCGGGGGAGGGGGACAGCGAGUGGCUCCCGGCUCUCCUGCGUCAGCGCGGGGGCCCGGCCUCCGAGUCCCUGCUCCGCGCUGGCGGGACCUGCUCUCUUCCCAGGCCUCCAGGCGCUCGUCGCAAUCUGAGGAGGAAGCAAUUGAGGGCACGGUGCCCGCGAGGUGGGGCGCGCGCUCCGGACAUCUUCGUCCCCCAGUGACUCCCCGAGCUUGGGGUUAGAGCAGAGGUGAGAGACUAGAGGAGACAAGGCUGAUGCCCACGCCGGGAAAGCUCUGGCUGACCCUAAGCGGCGCAGGCAUCUCGGUCCUCAUUUUGCAGAGCCUGAGGUGUGAUGGACAUUGUACAAAGCGCUUUUAAUAGGAAGAUCCACCUUGUAUUGAUGUGUUUUUUUGCACGCCGAGGGCUUUAAGUGCAUUUUCUCCUUGAACUUCCGGAGCAAAGUCCACCAAAUCCAGCUGUGGAUACAACAUCUGGCAGGCCGCAGGGCCAGUCCCUGCCAAGAGCGCAUCUCCGCAGCCCUCGCCCUAUGGUGAUGUCACUGUUCUGUGUCUCCACGGCAACCACAGCCUGGGAAGAUGGAGAAGAGGAGAGCCGAGUAACCAAGAGAGAGCCAAUGAGAUGGGCCAGCUGCACCGGAUGAUCCGUGGGGCCAUGGGGCGGGGCUGGGGGGAGAGCAGGGGGCCUACUCAGCAUCUUGGGCUGCUUCCUGGACCCUCCCUGCCAUCUGGACGCCUCCGAUAGGGGAUGUGCCACUGGCACGGGGAGAAAUGCCGGAGGUAGAGGCCAAAGAAGCUGAGCUGGAGCCUCCACUGACCCAGGGACAUAGAGACCCCCCCCCCAUAACCUCUUCGGGGCCUAAUCUGUGCAUGUUGACUGCCCCACUCCACCCCCAGGACCUGCUGCUGGAAUUUUUUUUUUUUAUGGUAAUGGUGGUGCAGCCCUCUGCCACGGAAUCAAGUCCUUAACCCUUCUCUCCACACCCUCCAUAGCUUCCCCUGGUGCAUGAUGUAUUCCGAAGCGGCAUCUUUGGAAAGAAGCCUGGUUCUAAAUCCCCAGCCUGCAACUUACUAGUCAAGAGACUAGGAGCCAGUCCCUUCCCCUUCUGAGUCUCCUUUCCUCCCAAAUGGAGGAAGGGCCAUCUACUCCCAGGGUCGACAGGAGGAUUAAGAGAGAUAACAUACGGAAGCCUAACACACAGAAUACUCAAUGAGUGGUGACUACGUUCUCCCUUCUGGGUCUCCCCGGGGCAGUUUUCCCAGAGAUGCACGUGAAUGAGCCAAGGCCCUUUGAGACAUUGAACCAAUAGCAAAGGACCAGGUGUGUCUGUCUCCUCACUGGGGCCAUUAAGUGCCUUCAGAUACUGCAGACAAGUUUUCCACAUCUCUCCCUUUCUCUUUAAGUAACUCACGCAUUUCACCAGUCUCCGUGAGUACCUCCUGCGCCCAGACACUGUGCUGGGCCCAGCAGGUUCCAGGGGAAACAGGAGAGCCACAGCCUCCAUCCUCCCUGAGCUCACUAUGUAGGGGGAUUGCAGCGCGGUGGCUGGAAUGCAGUGUUCUUUCUGCCACAAGGAAAUCGCUUCCUCGUUCCCCAAGAGUUCUAGAUACUGUGGGUCUGAGAGAACAAAUGAUGGCAAGAGGUCGGGAUUUACUCAACACCAGUUGCUUCUGAGAAACUGCUGCCUGUGGCACAUGCUCCCUGGAAGGAGAACAAUGGUUCUCUCUGCCCAGGGAGGAGAGGGGGUAGCUCAGGGUGGUGGGGCGGUCACCUCGGCUUUCCCAGAAGCCAGCUGUCCUCCCUGUUGGCAGAGUAAAGCCCAAACUCUUCCGCCUUGCUCCGUCUGUUUCAUUAGUUGAUUACUGAAAUCCUAUUCCGAGAAUAGUGCCUGGCAGAUGGUUGGCAUAAAUGAAUGAACACUGAACGAAUGAAUGAAGGAGUGUAUGGAAUAUUGAUUGAAUGAAUGAAUGAACGAGUGGGUGCGUGAGUGAAUCUGUCUACGUCUCUAGCUUUGGGGGCUCUGGAGUGAGACUCACUUGGCUUCCAUUCCUGCCCCUGUUGCUUACAGACCAGCUGUGUGGCCUUGGGCAAAGUCACCACCUCUCUGGGUCUGUAUUUCUUUAUCUGAGAAAAGCACAUGGCAGUUCCCACCAAGCCAGC